rnacentral:rRNA from 1 species
UACAGAGGUCUCAAGCGUUGUUCGGAUUCAUUGGGCGUAAAGGGUGCGUAGGCGGCGCGGUAAGUCGGGUGUGAAAUCUCGGAGCUUAACUCCGAAACUGCAUUCGAUGCUGCCGUGCUUGAGGACUGGAGAGGAGACUGGAAUUUACGGUGUAGCGGUGAAAUGCGUAGAUAUCGUAAGGAAGACCAGUGGCGAAGGCGGGUCUCUGGACAGUUCCUGACGCUGAGGCACGAAGGUCAGGGGAGCAAACAGG